rnacentral:rRNA from 1 species
CCUACGGGAGGCAGCAGUGAGGAAUAUUGGUCAAUGGACGAGAGUCUGAACCAGCCAAGUAGCGUGAAGGAUGACUGCCCUAUGGGUUGUAAACUUCUUUUAUAAAGGAAUAAAACGAGGCACGUGUGCCUUUUUGCAUGUACUUUAUGAAUAAGGAUCGGCUAACUCCGUGCCAGCAGCCGCGGUAAUACGGAGGAUCCGAGCGUUAUCCGGAUUUAUUGGGUUUAAAGGGAGCGUAGAUGGGUUGUUAAGUCAGUUGUGAAAGUUUGCGGCUCAACCGUAAAAUUGCAAUUGAUACUGGCAGUCUUGAGUACAGUGGAGGUAGGCGGAAUUCGUGGUGUAGCGGUGAAAUGCUUAGAUAUCACGAAGAACCCCGAUUGCGAAGGCAGCUUACUAAACUGUGACUGACAUUGAUGCUCGAAAGCGUGGGUAGCAAACAGGAUUAGAUACCCCAGUAGUC